rnacentral:rRNA from 1 species
GUCGAGAAUCUUUCACAAUGGGGGCAACCCUGAUGGAGCGACGCCGCGUGGAGGAUAAGGUCUUCGGAUUGUAAACUCCUGUCAUGCGUGAACAAGGUUGCUUGGUUAAUACCUGGGCAAAUUGAUGGUAACGCAAGAGGAAGAGACGGCUAACUCUGUGCCAGCAGCCGCGGUAAUACAGAGGUCUCAAGCGUUGUUCGGAAUCACUGGGCGUAAAGGGUGCGUAGGUGGCGUGGUAAGUCAGAUGUGAAAGCCCGGGGCUCAACCUCGGAACUGCAUCCGAUACUGCCAUGCUAGAGUACUGGAGAGGUGACUGGAAUUCUCGGUGUAGCAGUGAAAUGCGUAGAUAUCGAGAGGAAUACCAAAGGCGUAGGCAGGUCACUGGACAGUUACUGACACUGAGGCACGAAGGCCAGGGGAGCGAACGGGAUUAGAAACCCCAGUAGUCC